rnacentral:rRNA from 1 species
AGAGUUUGAUCAUGGCUCAGAUUGAACGCUGGCGGCAUGCCUAACACAUGCAAGUCGAACGGUAACAGGCCUUCGGGCGCUGACGAGUGGCGGACGGGUGCGUAACGCGUGGGUGAUCUGCCCUGCACUUUGGGAUAAGCCUGGGAAACUGGGUCUAAUACCGAAUAGGACCGCGCUCUUCAUGGGGUGUGGUGGAAAGCUUUUGCGGUGUGGGAUGGGCCCGCGGCCUAUCAGCUUGUUGGUGGGGUAAUGGCCUACCAAGGCGACGACGGGUAGCCGGCCUGAGAGGGUGACCGGCCACACUGGGACUGAGAUACGGCCCAGACUCCUACGGGAGGCAGCAGUGGGGAAUAUUGCACAAUGGGCGCAAGCCUGAUGCAGCGACGCCGCGUGAGGGAUGACGGCCUUCGGGUUGUAAACCUCUUUCAAUAGGGACGAAGCGCAAGUGACGGUACCUAUAGAAGAAGGACCGGCCAACUACGUGCCAGCAGCCGCGGUAAUACGUAGGGUCCGAGCGUUGUCCGGAAUUACUGGGCGUAAAGAGCUCGUAGGUGGUUUGUCGCGUUGUUCGUGAAAACUCACAGCUUAACUGUGGGCGUGCGGGCGAUACGGGCAGACUAGAGUACUGCAGGGGAGACUGGAAUUCCUGGUGUAGCGGUGGAAUGCGCAGAUAUCAGGAGGAACACCGGUGGCGAAGGCGGGUCUCUGGGCAGUAACUGACGCUGAGGAGCGAAAGCGUGGGGAGCGAACAGGAUUAGAUACCCUGGUAGUCC